AUUCCGUAAUAAGGGCACUUCUGUAAUAAUUCUUUGUACCUUUCCCAUGCCUCAUACAAGGAUUCAUCAUCCAUUUGUUGGAAAGCAGUGAUCUCAUUCCUCAACUU
rnacentral:snoRNA from 1 species